rnacentral:rRNA from 1 species
CUGUCGAGCUUGCUCACAGGCACAUCAUAUCCAUAACACCUGUGCACUUGUCGGAUGGCUUAGUGAAGACCGCAAGGUUGGAUCUAUCCAUCUACUUUACAUAACAAUUCUGUAACAAAUGUAGUCUUAUUAUAACAUAAUAAAACUUUCAACAACGGAUCUCUUGGCUCUCGCAUCGAUGAAGAACGCAGCGAAAUGCGAUAAGUAAUGUGAAUUGCAGAAUUCAGUGAAUCAUCGAAUCUUUGAACGCACCUUGCGCUCCUUGGUAUUCCGAGGAGCAUGCCUGUUUGAGUGUCAUGAAAACCCUCAACCCUAGAUUGGUUAAAACCUUUCUUUGGUUUGGAUUUGGACGUUUGCCGAUGAUAAGUCGGCUCGUCUUAAAAGUAAUAGCUGGAUCUGUCUCGCGACAUGGUUUGACUUGGCGUAAUAAGUAUUUCGCUAAGGACAUCUUCGGAUGGCCGCGUUGCAGGACUAAAGACCGCUUUCUAAUCCAUUGAUCUUACGAUUAAUAUUCUUGACAUCUGGCCUCAAAUCAGGUAGGACUACCCGCUGAACUUAAGCAUAUCAAU